AUCAACUGGAGGACCGAACCGACUAAUGUUGAAAAAUUAGCGGAUGACUUGUGGCUAGGGGUGAAAGGCCAAUCAAACCUGGAGAUAGCUGGUUCUCCCCGAAAGCUAUUUAGGUAGCGCCUCGGACGAAUACUACUGGGGGUAGAGCACUGUUAAGGCUAGGGGGUCAUCCCGACUUACCAACCCUUUGCAAACUCCGAAUACCAGUAAGUACUAUCCGGGAGACACAC
rnacentral:rRNA from 1 species